GAUGAACGCUGGCGGCGUGCCUAAUACAUGCAAGUCGAGCGAACAGACGAGGAGCUUGCUCCUCUGACGUUAGCGGCGGACGGGUGAGUAACACGUGGAUAACCUACCUAUAAGACUGGGAUAACUUCGGGAAACCGGAUCUAAUACCGGAUAAUAUAUUGAACCGCAUGGUGCAAUAGUGAAAGACGGUUUUGCUGGCACUUAUAGAUGGAUCCGCGCCGCAUUAGCUAGUUGGUAAGGUAACGGCUUACCAAGGCAACGAUGCGUAGACGACCUGAGAGGGUGAUCGGCCACACUGGAACUGAGACACGGUCCAGACUCCUACGGGAGGCAGCAGUAGGGAAUCUUACGCAAUGGGCGAAAGCUUGACGGAGCAACGCCGCGUGAGUGAUGAAGGUGUUCGGAUCGUAAAACCCUGUUAUUAGGGAAGAACAAAUGUGUAAGUAACCAUGCACGUCUUGACGGUACCUAAUCAGAAAGCCACGGCUAACUACGUG
rnacentral:rRNA from 1 species